CGUGGCACUCUGAUUUAUUAGAUGCAAGAAAGUAACAAACUGAAAAAAAUUAUGGUGUGGUAAGUUUCUGAUUCUCCACUGAUGUUUUUUCUCUUCUUCUUGCCUUCUUCCAAAUAUAUAUAUAUAUAUAAAAAAAGUCCCGAAAUCACAAAUUUUAAACAAUUCAAAUGAGAAAAACUAACUGCCUAAUUAAUGUACAAGAAAUUAACGAAAAACAGACAUGUAACACAGAAACAAUUCUGUAAUUAAUUAUUUUUUCAAUAAGAU
rnacentral:lncRNA from 1 species